AAAACUCCUCUCCGCCAUGGAUACCACCGGAUUACCCGACCCGAAUCCACCACAACCCGACGCCACCACCACUGCCCCCGCGGCCGCCGCCACUGCCAUUGACGAUCCACUAAACAACCCGUACUCCUCCCUAAACGCCAUCUGCCAUGACCUCUCCGAUCUCCAAGACCUAGCCACCCGCGGCGCGUGGAAGUCAAUCCUCGACAAGGUCGGCCAUGCACGGUCCCUCAACCUCCUCACUAAACCUCACGAACACCUCACGUACCUCACUUUCAACGUCUUAGCACUCACCAAGCUCCGCCGUCCCGUCGAUGCUAAUCAAGAGCUCGAAACCCUCCUCGACGGCGAAGAUUUCAACACCCCACAAUUCCAUUACCAGAAUUACCCUAAUCAUUACCCCAAUAUGAAGGGCAAUUUCGUCCCUUUUGCUCUCCGUUGGCUCCAUGCUUAUCUUCCUUACUCUCUCGCUCAGCGGAUGAAAUCGCUCGACAGGUUAUAUACACUUAUUGAUUUUAUUAGAUCGAAAAAAUUGAAAGUUUUAACUAACCCUAGUAAUGAUUUGUGGAAAAGAAGGGAGAUUUUAGUGUUGAAUACGAUAAUUAGUCAUCAUUUGAGUCAAAAAGAUUUCAAAUUGUGUUUGGGUUUGUUGAAUGAGCUGAUUGGAAUAUGUGGUGAUGAUGAUCCAAACGUGUUGUCGAAAUUAGGAUAUGUGAAAAUGCAGUAUGGAGAUGUGGAGGGUGCGAAAAAGGCGUUUAGCGCGGUGGAGGGGAUGAUAGGGAGUGAAAGUGAAGCGGGGUUGAGGAAUUUGGUGAGUAGGAGUAAGGCAUUGAUGUAUAUAGUGGAGAAGGAUUAUGUCUCUGCGGUAAGGGAGUACGAAGAGUGUAUCGAGAGGGAUGGAAUGGAUAUGGUGGCUAUGAAUAAUAAGGCUUUGUGUUUGAUGUAUUCGAGGGAUUUAUCGGAUGCUAUUAAGGUGUUGGAGAAUGCAUUGGAGAGGGUUCCGACUGUCGCGUUGAAUGAGACUCUUGUGGUGAAUUUGUGUAGUAUGUAUGAAUUGGCUUAUGUUAAUCAUGCUGAUAUUAAGAGGACACUUAACAAUUGGAUUGCUAGAGUUGCUCCUGAUGAUUUUGACUCGUCUUGUACUCGAACAUGAGGUAAUGUUUUCUUUGUAGAUGAAAUUGGGAAUGAGAAUUCUGAUAAACGUUUACGUAAUCUUAUUUUACUCUUUCUAAUUGUGUGACUGUUUGUAUCUUGGGA
rnacentral:misc_RNA from 1 species